AGGACGAACGCUGGCGGCGUGCUUAACACAUGCAAGUCGAGCGGAAAGGCCUUUCGGGGUACUCGAGCGGUGAACGGGUGAGUAACACGUGAGUAAUCUGCCCAUCGCUUCAGGAUAGCCAUCGGAAACGGUGAUUAAUACUGGAUAUGACAUUCCUUCGCAUGUUGGGGUGUGGAAAGUUUUUUCGGCGGUGGAUGUGCUCGCGGCCUAUCAGCUUGUUGGUGGGGUAAUGGCCUACCAAGGCUUUGACGGGUAGCCGGCCUGAGAGGGUGACCCGGCCAACU
rnacentral:rRNA from 1 species